GUGGGGAAUAUUGCGCAAUGGGGGAAACCCUGACGCAGCAAUACCGCGUGAGUGAAGAAGGUUUUCGGAUCGUAAAGCUCUGUUAUUGGGGAAGAAAAAAGACGGUACCCAAGAAGAAAGUCCCGGCUAACUACGUGCCAGCAGCCGCGGUAAUACGUAGGGGACAAGCGUUGUCCGGAUUUACUGGGCGUAAAGGGCACGCAGGCGGUUUUUUAAGUCAGAUGUGAAAGGUACCGGCUCAACCGGUGACAUGCAUUUGAAACUGAAAGACGUGAGUAUUGGAGAGGCAAGUGGAAUGCCUAGUGUAGCGGUGAAAUGCGUAGAUAUUAGGAGGAACACCGGUGGCGAAGGCGGCUUGCUGGACAAAUACUGACGCUGAGGUGCGAAAGCGUGGGGAGCAAACAGGAUUAGAUACCCGGGUAGUCC
rnacentral:rRNA from 1 species